rnacentral:rRNA from 1 species
UACGAAGGGGGCUAGCGUUGUUCGGAAUUACUGGGCGUAAAGCGUAUGCAGGCGGAUCGUUAAGUCGGGGGUGAAAUCCCGAGGCUCAACCUCGGAACUGCCUUCGAUACUGGCGAUCUUCGAGUCCGGGAGAGGUGAGUGGAACUCCGAGUGUAGAGGUGAAAUUCGUAGAUAUUCGGAAGAACACCAGUGGCGAAGGCGGCUCACUGGCCCGGUACUGACGCUGAGACGCGAAAGCGUGGGGAGCAAACAGG